rnacentral:tmRNA from 1 species
CCACUUCACAUUCAGGAUUGGCGCGCUAUAUCGGCGGUGUCGGGCAACCGACUAUGGCGAUAAAUUGCUGCGUGCAAUAGAUGCAACGGACCCGGGGGCAGUACCCGGCGGCUCCACCAGAAACGGCGACUAUUCGCCAGUUCUGAUGGGGCGCAUAAGGCUCAAAAACCAUAAGUGCCAACGAUAACGAAGCACUCGCAAUCGCUGCGUAAUUGAUGGGCUAACGCCCUGAUAUUAUUAGGCUAAAAAGCGCGGUUGGACCGACCGGGCAACAGAACGGAUACC